GACGAACCGUGCGAACGUUGUUCGGAAUCACUGGGCUUAAAGGGCGCGUAGGCGGGCCGCCAAGUCCGCGGUGAAAUCCCCCGGCUCAACCGGGGAACUGCCGCGGAUACUGGAGGUCUCGAGGGGGGUAGGGGCAUGCGGAACUACGGGUAGAGCGGUGAAAUGCGUUGAUAUCCGUAGGAACUCCGGUGGCGAAGGCGGCGUGCUGGACCCCUUCUGACGCUGAGGCGCGAAAGCCAGGGGAGCGAACGGG
rnacentral:rRNA from 1 species